GCCGGAUAUACCGACGGGCGCGCGAUCGUCCCGAGCGCGGAGCAGGCUUCUCGAGAUCUGGGAACCGACAUGUACAAUAUCCCGGUGAAAUUGAUAUACGUCAAGUUUAUUGAUGAAAUACGCACCUGUACGGGCCCAUAAAGUAUACAGAUUAUAGUAAUGUAAUCGUGCUGUGGUGGCCCCCUCUCCCUCCCCAUCCCCGUGACUGCCGUCCAGAAAAAUCUAGGAGCCUUCCGCCCUCCGGACCGUCGCCGAGUUUUGCCCCGUCCGCCGCCGGAGGUGUUGCCUGCGGCCUGCCUGCGAGUGGAUCCUUCCGCAUCAGAGGCUAUCGCGCCCCCCCCCCUCCCUCCCUCCCGUGGGCGCGCUAGUCGAGCCAUCCGGCGCCUUCGCCGUGACGGCGACGAGCGACAGAGUGCCGAUCUCAGCAUACAAUGGUUCAUGGUCCAAAGUGCUAUAGCCAAUCGGAUGGAUUCCCCGCAGAUUCUACCUCAAAUCAUAUGCUGCCCUGUGUGAGGCAUUGUCGCGUCGGGCUUCUCGACAGCCAAGAACAGGGAGGAUAAAAGUUGCAUAUGUGGAUUUCGAUUUGAACAAAGAUCCGCCCAUCGACCUUAACGCGGACAUCUCUCAUUCUGAUGAGCUACUACGAUCAAUCCCGCUAGAAGUUCUGGAAGGGGCUCAGUCGGCGCAGAAGGAGAGCUUCAUGAUGAGAUUGCAAGGUUUUCAUCGCUAGCAAGGAUUCGUUGUUCUCUGAGCUGUUGUUCGACAAUAUCCUAACCACCAUUGGAAAAUCCAUCAUCCUGAUUCCUGAGCCUGCAACUGUUUCUUUUUUUUCUUGUGGUUAUCUUUGCCAAAUUAUCUUAACCACCACCGGAAAAUCCAACCCGAGUUCAACUGUACUAGUAGUUCAUAAAUCAUGGAGGUGCUGGGCCAAAAGGAGUAUAUAAACUUAAUUGAUCUGGAAAUCAUUUUUUGUUACCUUUUUGCAUUGCCAUCCGGAUAAAUAUUUCGCUAGUAAGUGAGGAAGGGCAUGCUGAGUAUAUGGGACUGCAAACCUUUUUAUCUUGUUUAUUUUUUAGAAAGGAGUAUUUUGUAGUGUCAAUGUGAAGAGUUAAACUGUGUAUUAACAUGAACAUGAUGGACUGGGUCAGUUUCAAGAGGAGUUUGGUUUGGAAUUCAUGUUUGCUUGUCUGGUUGCUAUACAUUUGUUUCCUAAUCCGAUUCCGACAAGCUAACAACAGUGAAGCCGUACGCCCGGAUGACCUAGCGGGCUGAUUUCUAACACGCGCGUGCCAUGCUAGCUCCAAGUUCCGUAGAUGAUUAGCCGGUCCUUCAAUUAAACCCGCCUUGAAUCCCGGACUCAAGGUGCUAUUAAAAGUGCAUCAUCAAACAAUUUUGUUAAAGUUAUGCUUAUAAAUAUACGAGCGUGAGCAUCAUUUACCAAAUCUGUGCAACCGCCCAGCUGAAAAUAAAGGUUUCUCUAGAUUAUUUGCAAGGUAAAGAAACCUAAAUUUUGUGAGACAAAGUAUAGCCAUUACCUUGCACAAAAAAGUGUGUACGCAUUUUUCUGGAAAUAGGGUUGAGCCUGUGCAUCUUGAGAUAUUUUGCGCAUAUGUAUAUCAAGACAUUUUUGAGAUAUUCUUAUAUAGAAAAUGCACAAGGAUAUUGUGUGCAUCUAUCUCUGGGCUUCUUGCUCUUUCUAUCUCUCCAGCUCACCUCCAGGGACAAUCAUGUGCAUGAAUUAUGUGCAAAAUCAUGUUUGAAAAAUUAUGCACAACUUUUCAUAUGAUUUUUUCCCUAAUGGCAAAAUCAUGUGCAUGAAUUUGAAUUUAAUUUUAUUCAUGCACCAAAAUAUGUGCACCUUUACAUUAAUAUGUUCUGUUUUCUCCCAAUCACAUGCAAUGGUCCAUAAUUUUUGUUGGUAUUGCAAAUUGCAGUGCUGAAUCAGGCUAUUAUUCAGUCUAUUAUGCUAAGAUGUACAAUGGACCUAAACUGAACUGAAAAUGUUCAAGGGAAUGGAGAAAUUUUUUCAUGCUACAAGCUAUCGAAGAUUAUGGUCACCAAUCAGAGAUAUAGAUCAGACUUGGCUGUCGUUUCAUUUUGGAGACAUCAAAAUCUGUUCGUGUCAUUCCAAUAGUAUCUAGUUAAAUGAUUUCCCGUGUUCUAUGUGCACGUAAAGAUCUCAUGUACAUAGUCCUUCCUUACUAGCUUAUAUACUUUAUGUUGCAAGUAUGUUGUAACUACUAUCGAAUUGUUCCCACAUGCUUUAUUUUUGGGGCAUCAAGGCCUGUUUGAUAAAUUUUUAUGCCCCCGAUAA